rnacentral:rRNA from 1 species
AUGGCGUCGCCGGCGCUGGGGGCGGGGACGCCGCCGUUCCUCACCAAGACGUACGCGAUGGUGGACGACCCGGAGACCGACGACACCAUCUCCUGGAACGAGUCCGGCACGGCGUUCGUGGUGUGGCGCCGCGCCGAGUUCGAGCGCGACCUCCUCCCCAAGAACUUCAAGCACAGCAACUUCGCCUCCUUCGUCCGCCAGCUCAACACCUACGGAUUCAGGAAGAUAGGCCUUGACAGGUGGGAGUUCGCCAACGAGUGCUUCAGGAAAGGGGAGAAGCGCCUGCUCGGCGCGAUACAGAGGCGGAAGGGAUCUGGCGCCGGGGCGCCGGCGCCCGCGAUGAUGGCGACGCCGAUUGCGACGGCGAUUCCGAUCUCGCCCACGCCGACGAGCUCCGGCGGGGACGCCGCGGUCUCGUCGUCGCCGCCGCCCGGGCUGGCGCUGGUGGCCACCGGCGCGAUGGCCGAGCUGGAGGAGGAGAACGCGCGGCUGCGGCGCGAGAACGCGAGGCUGGCGCGGGAGCUCGCGCGCGCGCGGCGCGUCUGCGACGGCGUGCGGCACCUCGUCUGGCGGUAUGACCACGGCGGGGAGGAAGUGGGGGAGGAGGACGAGAGGCACGGCGCCGCAGGCGCGAAGCCGAUGCUGUUCGGCGUCGCGAUAGGGAGCAAGAGGUCGCGCGAGCACGGGCACGGGGGAGGGGAUGAGGGAAAUGGGGCAGAGGAGGACGGCGAAGACGACGAGGAGGAGCAAGAACACGACGACGACGGCGUCGACGAGAGGCACGCCGCCCGGCGAGAACAAGGGAAGGCUAUGAGGACGGAGCGGUCGGAUCUGAAUGUGCUUUCGCUGUCCGUGCGGGCGGCGGCGGCGGCGAGGCCUGACGGGGGCUCGCGUGAUCGUAGCGGAAGCCACUAG